UUGCCUGUUUGUUCUUUUCAGUUUUUGUAAACUGAAAUGCAUUGUGAUGAAUUCUGACAAAUGACUUUUGGAUAUUUUUUUUUUUGUACCUGCGAGAAGAGGAAGUAAAAUAUCUUCUCACAUUACGCAGCUUUGUCACCAGUCACCACUGUGGAAUAGCUGACGCAAGCUAACCUUGAAACUGUCAAGAAUGCACACACUCAAACCUAAAUCUGAUGACAGAAUUUGUGGGACCCUUUAUCUCAGCAAUCAAACACAGGUACAAUAGCUAGGUGUUCCAUUGCUCUCAGCAAUACAUCCUCUUGAGCCACAAUGUCCUCACACAGUUGGUUGGUGAACACUAUGACAGUGUUAUGGGUCCAAAGGGAAUUAAAUAAAUAGAAUUGCUGCUUUUCUGUUUUGUUGCAGAGAAGGAUGGACGAGGGAUGGAUGAUGCUGUUUUCAGUCCUAAUUUCAGACAGUGAUAGACGUUAUGUAAUGUUGCUUAACAAAACUAUGUGUACAUUUAUAAUAUUUAUAAACUAAAGAUUAUCACCAUUAUGCAAUAGACUGUGAUAUAAAGAUUAUCUAUAUGUGUGUUGUAAAUAGUUUUUGUAGAUCUAGUAUUUACAGAUACUGUGUGGUGCAUUCUCAAUCAUAACAAUGUCUUACUUCUUUCAGGAACCUUGAUAUCUUCAUCAUCAUCAUCAUCAUCAUCUAUAUGCGGAAAAAAAAGUUCAUAAGUGACAACAAUGCAUAUAUUCAUUAGAGAUAAGAAAACCUUAAUGCAAUAGCUAGCACUACUUGACACUGAGAAAUGCCUGUCAAACUGAGAAUCUUCAUUUGUCUGCAUUUAUAUACCUGUUUCCUUAUUUAUUUAUUUAAAACAUCUAGCAAGCAAAAGAGAAGUGAAUGAGAGAUGAAAUAUUUUUUUAACACUGAGGUUUCAACACUUUUCAACACGUUUAACACUCUGAGCUUUCAACACUUUUCAACACGUUUAACACUGAGGUUUCAACACUUUUCAACACAUUUAUAGUAGGGACUCCUUAACACCUGUUAUUGUACACUUCAAACAUGUCUCCCCUGUAUGUUCAUCUACUUUGGAACAGUAUUAUUUCUAGAGAUAUUUCAUUUCAGUCGUAUGCUACACAAUACAGUAAUACCCUUUUACAGUGUAUGUUAAAGUCCUAAUAUCUUACUAUGAGUGUGCUGGGUGAGUAAAUCUACCCAUUCCUUACAGCAAUUAAGAGUUAUUAUAUGUUUGAUUACCCAUACACAAUGUGACACUUUAGAAUUACUGUAAAUAUGAAUCAUUGUUGAAUCUAUCAUAUCGUGACACCAAACGUUUUAGUUAGUUUUGCCACCUUCUGAUUUUUAUUUUUUAAAUUAAUUUUUUAUGUCAUUCGGAGGUAAAUGGAAUGACAUCCAAACAAAAUGUGUUAAAUGUUUGGAUGUUUUAGUCUGUGUCUUUCUGCUUUUUUUAAAUUUAUUUUUCAUAUUUACUUUCAUUGACUCACCUUUCAUAUCAUGUAUUCAAAUAAUGUGAUCGUCCAGUGUGGCAGGCAGACUGCCUAUUUUAAAUCCCAUUCAUCUCAAUGGAAAGAAACGUUUUUCCUUCCGACAGAAAAUGUAUACAUUCUGUCUUUUUCUGCAAUAUGCCCAUCUGCUGUAGGUUUGCAGUCCAGGCGCGUGAACUUUCCAGUCACGGAUAAUGUUGAAGAAGACUGGCAUGACCUUUCCAGAUUCUUCUCUCUCUCUUUGAAUAGGUCAUGUUGUAAGUUCAAGCGGUUUGGGCCCAUUUUUAAAAACAAUCACAGUGUGUGAAUUAGAGCGAGAGCAACACGGGUUGCAUUAAGGUUUCUGUCUCUUGUGCGUCUGAAUCCAUCAUUAGUAAACUGUAACAAUAUCAACAUCAAUAAAAUGUUUAAGCUUAUUUAUUUAGUAUCCUGGGGGGUCCAGAAAUGUGACUCAACUUUGAGUCAAUUCAUUUGAGGUCAGUCAUUCUAACACAGAUUACCCUGUGAGGUCGUAGUCUAUUUGACGUGCUUAUGAAUUUGUGUGUACGUUUGUUAGAGACCCCUAUGUAUUGUGUAUAGUGACCAUGUGAGUAAUUAGUAUGAUAUGUUCCUCACAGACGACCACCCUCUCAUGGUUUUAGAGUCACAAUCUUCAUGGCGCCAAACAUGCUCCAUCAGUCGGCUCAGAGUAUGUAAGCCCUUAGAGAAGCACUUAAAAAGAUUACCAGUACUUCAGUACAGACAACGUGUGUCAACAUUCUACCAAUACAGAGUCCACCCAAAAAAUGUAUCAUAAAAAGCAUGCACUCUCACAAAUACUUAAAAAGAUACUAUUCUAAAAAAAUAAUUAUGACGUUAAAUGUACUGUGAGAUUAUGUUUUGUUCAUUGUCUGUCUAGACGUUAUUUGUGUGCAAUGGAAGCGUUGACAUUUUCACAAAAGGACACUUAAGUAUUUGUGCCUAAAACUGUAGCCAUGUUCGAUACUUUGUUUUGUUUUGAGUGCGAGGAGUUAUAAUGUGUACCUGUACACACACAUACAUUACUCUAUCAUAUGUGUUCUAUGUUUCAAUAUUUUUAGAGAGGAAGAUGUAACCAAUGAAGAUGAUGGCCAAAAUGUCUCAGUUUAACAAUUGGAAUCUUUGAAAACAAUGUGAACUUCUGUAAAAAGGCUCUCUCUUUCUAAUAUAGUACUCUCAGAAUUACAAUAAUGACUAGUACAGUCUCUACAGAACUGGGAGGAUACUAACAUGUUGACAAGACGUUGUAAAAAUUUGGAGCACCUUUGUAACUUUCUUUGUAGCUAGCCACUGGUGUUUUGUUGAUUAUUAAUGUUGCGUGGAAUGAAACUGGCCAAAGCAAAACAUUCAAAGUAAUUUUCUUUGUUUUGAAUUGCACUUUCUGAUGAAAGCUGAUACAGACUCUUCAGUCAGUUAGUUUAAGUGAAUAGAAGGUUAAAAGGGAGAUGUAUCAUCUAGAUUGGAACACUCUGACCCAUUCUAGGGUUCUAAACAUGGAGAGAUGUUCUAUUACAACAAAGAUGUUCUAUUACAACAAAGAUGUUAUAUUACAACAAAGACUGCUUCAUCCUGAUCUGCCAUAGUGAAUGUAUUCAUGGGUUUCACCUCCGUCUCGUCGUUGCCAUUAUGAACAUUCUACAGACGCCGCAGCCAUAUUGGUUCCCAAAAUGUCCAGUGAUGCCCAUUCAUUCUGAACUGGGCUAAUGUUUUACAUUUAAGUCAUUUAGCAGAUGCUCUUAUCCAGAGCGACUUACAAAUGGCUGUUUAAUCUAAAAAAACACUAUAGUGGCCUGGAAAUAUGAUGACAUUGCUAAAGUAGGCAAAUAUUUAGUAGGAAUCAACUUUGCCAUCAUUAUUAAUGUGGUCAAAUUUACUUUAGACAGAUGGCAAUGUUGUCAUUAGCUAGCAAAGAUUGUCAAAAAUAGUUAGCAAAGCUAACUUUAGCUAGCUUAAAUCCAGUGGUCUCCCCUCAAUCUUAGCUAGCUAGCUAAUGUUAUACUGUAUCUACAGUCAAUCUGGAGACAUUAUUUUACCCUUCUCUUACCAGAUAAAUUGACUGAAAACACAUUUUCAUUUACAGCAAUGACCUGGGGAAUAGUUACAGGGGAGGGGAGGGGGGGAUGAAUGAGCCAAUUGGACAAUGAUGACAAAAUAUUUUCCUACAAAUUAUUUGCGAAUGUAUUUCAAGCCACUGUCAUGCACUAUUGAUGAAAUCUUCAUCAGUGCCAAUUGACAAUGCAUUGAGUAGAAGGCUCAGUUGGGCAUCAGUCCUAAAACGAAUGUUCAAAACAAAAUUGUGACGAAACGUGGAACUCAUGAAUAGGAACUAUUGCACGAUUCAGAUGGAUAGCAGCACUGUUGGUUUGUUCUGUUUUUGCUACUUGCCUUUGGAAGGGAAAGCUUCCCAACUAUGUGCUUUUUUUUCUCUCAAAAUAAUUCCGACCACAGCUAUCUAGCAUUCUGGAAUGGGCAUUAUGAUGUAUGUAUAGUACAACACGAACGGACAAAAUCAGCUUACAGUUUUAGCAGUAUGGAGAACUCUCAAUAAACCAGCACAUAUAUUGGUACAUUUAUAUUGUUUUGCUUUAUAAAAAAAAAAAAAUGCUAAAUGAACAAAGCCCAAUGCCCAGACAAAGGAAACAAGGGACUUUAUUCACAAAGCCUCUCUGAGUAGGAGUGCUGACCUAGGAUCAGACUUGACCUUUUAGAUAAAUUAAUGCGAUUAUUUGGACAAAGGGGAAAAAAAUGAUCUUAGAUCAGUACUCGUAGUCUGAGAUGCUUUUGUGAAUACUGGGCCCUGAACUUUUGGGUUCUGACCUCGACAGUGCAGGUUUAAUACGUUAACUGAUAAUGUGCGAUAAUGUGCAUCUUGGAGAGAUCAUGGUGUAGAUAAUGCUGUAAGUUACGAGCCACACGUACGCUCCUCUUAAACCCCGCUGACAGAUCAUUCAUGUUAAUAAAACAAGCUUGGUAAAAAUGAACAAUAGUUACUUGACACGGACUAAGGAAAGUACAUGUAAAACUUUCUUACAACUAUAUGCAGACAAAUGGUGUUUGUCUAAAAAAUAUUUUGAUUUCUGUUUGAAUUUUGUUUUGUUUGUAAAUAAUAAACCUUCAACAUGUAGAAAAUAAAAGACAUAUUGUCAUUUA